ensembl:miRNA Mir3572 microRNA 3572
UGCCACCAGUAAGUGGAGGCCAGUUUGGGGGACAGGGCAAGGUGGGCAGUAGCUGACAGCCUGUUUACACUUGCCCUUUUUUCCCCAGGCUAUAGUUCGGUUGUGGCA